CGCGCAGGCGGUUUCUCAAGUCAGUGGUGAAAGCCCGGAGCUCAACUCCGGAACUGCCAUUGAAACUGUGAAACUUGAGGACGAGAGAGGUGAGUGGAAUUCCCAGUGUAGAGGUGAAAUUCGUAGAUAUUGGGAAGAACACCGGUGGCGAAGGCGGCUCACUGGCUCGUUUCUGACGCUCAGGCGCGACAGCGUGGGGAUCAAACA
rnacentral:rRNA from 1 species